ACCCGGCUGGCUCAGUCAGUCGAGCGCGAGACUCUUAAUCUCGGAGUGGGUGGUUCGACCCCACGUUGGACG